rnacentral:tRNA from 1 species
GGCGGAGUGUGGGUUAACCCGGACCAAAUCAUAAUCCGCGUGUCGGGGGUUCAAGUCCCUCCUCCGCUACCA